UACACGAUUUCAAAAUCACAAGGAUAACCUUUCAUUGUCGCACCUCAUCGCAACCUGAGCACAUCUCACAUCAUCCCAACCUGAUCACAUCUCACAUCAUCGUCACACAUUGUUGUAGCCUAAGCAUUGUCUCAAAUCGCCGCAAUGAGAAUAAUGCGCAUCGCCCUCAUUGCAACCUGAGCUUUGCUUCACCAAAUUUGGAGUUGCUUCACUUUUCAGUUCAAACAUCUGAUAAAUACUCUUUAUCCCCAAUUUUCACCACUCCAGUCUUCACAAAUCUUCUCAGGAGAUAUCCAAACCAGAGGAUAUGGAAAUACAAAUACCAAGAAAAGACUUGCAUUGUUAUUGGAGCUAAUUCAAGAAUUGGCUAUGCAAUUGUUGUUGAGGGUCUUGCAAAGUAGUUUUUGUCUUUCUCAUAUGUUUGUUUUUGGAAUUUUGCACUUUUAAGUUUGAAAUUACAUGUUAUGAUUAAUGAUUUUCAGAGUGGUGCAACUGUCUAUCUUGUAUGUCAUAAUAAGGAGGGGUUGCACUUUCUGAUAUUCAAACUAAAAUUGACAAUCAAAAUGUAUAUUUAGAGUUAUAAA